CGCUAUCACUCCUACGGGAGGCAGCAGUGGGGAAUAUUGCACAAUGGGGGAAACCCUGAUGCAGCCAUGCCGCGUGUGUGAAGAAGGCCUUCGGGUUGUAAAGCACUUUCAGUAGGGAGGAAGGUAGUGUAGUUAACACCUGCAUUAUUUGACGUUACCUACAGAAGAAGCACCGGCUAACUCCGUGCCAGCAGCCGCGGUAAUACGGAGGGUGCGAGCGUUAAUCGGAAUUACUGGGCGUAAAGCGCAUGCAGGCGGCCUGUUAAGUCAGAUGUGAAAGCCCGGGGCUUAACCUCGGAAUUGCAUUUGAAACUGGCAGGCUAGAGUCUUGUAGAGGGGGUAGAAUUUCAGGUGUAGCGGUGAAAAUGCGUAGAGAUCUGAAGGAAUACCAGUGGCGAAGGCGGCCCCCCUGGACAAAGACUGACGCUCAGAUGCGAAAGCGUGGGGAGCAAACAGGAUUAGAUACCCUGGUAG
rnacentral:rRNA from 1 species